GACGAACGCUGGCGGCGUGCUUAACACAUGCAAGUCGAACGGAAAGGCCCUGCUUUUGUGGGGUGCUCGAGUGGCGAACGGGUGAGUAACACGUGAGUAACCUGCCCUUGACUUUGGGAUAACUUCAGGAAACUGGGGCUAAUACCGGAUAGGAGCUCCUGCUGCAUGGUGGGGGUUGGAAAGUUUCGGCGGUUGGGGAUGGACUCGCGGCUUAUCAGCUUGUUGGUGGGGUAGUGGCUUACCAAGGCUUUGACGGGUAGCCGGCCUGAGAGGGUGACCGGCAACAUGGGGAAGUGGAACAGGCCAGAACGCGGUGGGGGGGAGAAAGGGGGGAAUUUGAAACAAGGGGGGGAAGCAGAAGCAGGAAAAGGCGGGUGGGGAAAGAGGGGCUUCGGGGUGAAAAACAGCUUCGCAGGGGAAGAACCGGAAGGGAGUGUAUGUGGUAAAGAAAUACCGGCUAACUACGU
rnacentral:rRNA from 1 species